AACGAACGCUGGCGGCAGGCUUAACACAUGCAAGUCGAACGCCCCGCAAGGGGAGUGGCGCACGGGUGAGUAACGCGUGGAUAUCUGCCUUUUGGUUCGGAAUAACCCCGGGAAACUGGGGCUAAUACCGGAUGGUUCCUACGGGAUAAAGAUUUAUCGCCAAAAGCUGAGUCCGCGUACGAUUAGCUGGUUGGUGAGGUAAUGGCUCACCAAGGCGACGAUCGUUAGCUGGUCUGAGAGGACGAUCAGCCACACUUGGACUGAGACACGGCCCAGACUCCUACGGGAGGCAGCAGUGGGGAAUAUUGGGCAAGGGGGGCAACCCUGAUCCAGCCAUGCCGCGUGAGUCAUGAAUGCCGUCGGGUUGUAAAGCUCUUUUGGCGGGGACGAUGAUGACGGUACCCGCAGAAUAAGCCCCGGCUAACUUCGUG
rnacentral:rRNA from 1 species